rnacentral:tRNA from 1 species
UUUAGUUAGUAUAAAUAGUACAUUUACCUUCCAAGUAAAUAGUCUGACUUCAGACUCCAGUG